UACAGAGGGUGCGAGCGUUAAUCGGAAUUACUGGGCGUAAAGGGUGUGUAGGUGGUUGCGUAAGUUAGAUGUGAAAUCCCCGGGCUUAACCUGGGAACUGCGUUUAAAACUGCGUAACUAGAGUAGUGUAGAGGAUAGUGGAAUUUCCAGUGUAGCGGUGAAAUGCGUAGAUAUCGUAAGGAAGACCAGUGGCGAAGGCGGGUCUCUGGACAGUUCCUGACGCUGAGGCACGAAGGCCAGGGGAGCAAACGGG
rnacentral:rRNA from 1 species